GAUGAAGAACGUAGCGAAAUGCGAUACUUGGUGUGAAUUGCAGAAUCCCGUGAACCAUCGAGUCUUUGAACGCAAGUUGCGCCCGAAGCCGUCAGGCCGAGGGCACGCCUGCCUGGGCGUCACACGCCGUUGCCCCCCCCCCAGCGCCUCCCUCGGGAGGGCCGGGGGGAGCGGACGAUGGCCUCCCGUGCGACACCCCGUGCGGUUGGCACAAAUGCCGGGUCCUCGGCGACGAACGCCACGACAAUCGGUGGUUGUCAAACCUCGGUUGCCCGUUGUGCGCCUUCGUCGCGCCACGAGCGGCCCGCGAUAGCGAACGGCUCCGUUCCGGCGAAGCUUUCAACGCGACCCCAGGUCAGGCGGGGUUACCCGCUGAAUUUAAGCAUAUCAAUAAGCGGAGGA
rnacentral:misc_RNA from 1 species